ensembl:lncRNA
CAGGAAUCCAUUCCACAGUUUGCAGCCAGCUAGCAGGCUAGCAGGCUAGCAGACUAGCAGGCUAGCAGACUAGCAGGCUAGCGCUGAGGCUAGACUGUUUAGCACGGCAGCCAAUACCGUCACCGGAGGUCGUCAUGGUUACUUUAUGAUUCCACUGUGUCUCUGUUAGUGCCAUCAUAAUUAUGAUGUCAGCGUGACGCUUUAGUUAGUGACAUCUUCAUCAUGAUGUGACGGUUAAAGACAUCAUCAGUGACAUCAUUAUGGACCGGAGGUCGUCAUGGUUACUUUAUGAUUCCACUGUGUCUCUGUUACUCUGUCAUUAUGGACCGGAAUUGUUUAUCAACGAUGCCUUGCAGAGAUGGAUCCCCCGACCUCCCACUCUCCGCCAGGAGAAGGAGAGUGGCUCGCCGCACUCGCAGACGAAGAAGAAGGAUCAUCCGACGAAGAAGAAGAAGAAGGAUCAUCCGACGAAGAAGAAGAAGGAUCAUCCGACAAAUAAGAAGGAUCACGCGACGAAGAAGAAUGCUCAUGCGACGCCUCGCAGAACUGGAUCCCCCAACCUCCCACUCCCAUUUCCCUGGCUCCCAUCUAGGAGGAGGGGAUUGCCCCCCCGCAUUCGCAGGCUCCUUAUCAUGGUCGUCCGACGAAGAAGAAGGAUCAUCCGACGAAUAAGGAUCAUGCGACGCCGCGCAGAAUUCCAACAGACAAGCCGACGUUAGGUUUCCAUCGAUCGUUGUUCUUUCUGGACCCUGUUCCUGCUUCCUACCGUGGCCCUGCUGACACCUGCUGCUGCCAUCAUCAUCAUUAUUAUUUUCAAAUAUUAAUCAUAUUACUAUUACUGUCAUCAUAAACCAACAUUACCCUUGGUAAGUGAGUGGGAUCCGUCCUCUGACGUUCUCACUAAGGUUUCUUCCCUUUUUUCCCCAUGAAAGGGUUUUUGUGACGCGUCUAUGACGGCGUCAUGCUGCUUUUGCUACUAUCAGGUGAUGGAUCAGCAGUUUUGGAACCUUGGGAACACAGUUUGAAUACUUGUACUCGGCUGUACUCCGGGGAUCACAUGAUUAUUCUCCUGGUCGACAUACGGCCGACACUUGUCUCGACUAGCUUACCCGUUUAGAUAAACGCCCAGGGACACACUGUGAGCAGAACCCGCUUUAACACUGGAAUGAUAUUGUAAUGCCUGAGGUGAAGUAUGAGUGUGGACAUGUCUGCGACCGUUGACGUUAUACCUGAAUAUGGUAGUGGGGGACAUUGUGUGAUGGUUCGUGUUCAUGUUAAACCUGUCCAUCUCCCGGACACCAGCAGCUUGUUUGUGAGGAGCUUUCCUGGAAUACCUGGAGGGGGACACAAAUGUCCACCUCGACUGAAGGACCAACCAAGGAUCAACUGGCAUUGGUAAAAGGUGACGGUGACCUGUACUGCAUCUCUGAUUGGCUGACACCCAGAACCUGCAGACAAAACACAAACUGUCAUUCUGUUGCAGCACCGUUAGGACUCUCUGUACCAGUCAAAGGUCUCAUUCAAUUGAACGAGAAAGUGCGUCCAGCCUUUUGACUGGUACUGUACAUCCCUGUGUGUGCGUUGUGAGGUUAUGGGGUUUGUGUGCCAGGCGAGCGUUUGGCUCACACUGAGCUGUUGAGACAGAGUCCUUCCGAGUAGCCAUGUGGUUCACAGCGAAGUGUUCCCAGGAGUAGCUGUGUAGCUAAAGUCUGUCUCUGUUUUUGUUGGACGCCACAUUGGAACCCAACCUGAACCCGUGUUUACUCUGAGGCUCUGUGGAUCGCAGGAUACGCAAAACACAGCCAGAGAUGAACAGACAUUUGUGAAACACACACACACACCCAUACACAAGUGUACCUGUGUAGUACAGGCACGCACAAACUGAGCGCUAUGCACCUACGCACAAAGUCACACUGACCAGCCAAACAUGUCUUGAUUUACGUCUCUCACUCUGGCCAUAAUCUCCGUGUUUUCGUCCAACAGCAGAAGCAAUUAGUGCUGACAUUUGUUUUUGCAUCAACAUUCCAAAGCUGACGAGUUGCUUCCCUUCGGACUGAAAAUGCGAUGGCCAUGUGUGUGCUCGCGCUGCCGUUUCCCACGCCGCUUUUGCCUUUCGCGGUCGCAUGCGACGUUUAAAGGCUAUCGUCGUGGGCACCUUUCGCACGUAUGUUCCACAGUUUCUGUCGCUGACAAACACAGGGUUGCUAUGCGCCGGGGCGUGACGCGGUGAAGCAGCAGCUCCACCUUCAGACUCUGCAACAUGCACUGAAAUGUGCCGCUCAACUGCAAACUGUCUGCACCCGACCCGUCCUCGUGCAGCAGCUGUUAAGAGUCCAACAUUAGCUUUCUGCGCACAAGCUGACACCAAAAACAAACCCGUUGAUGACGUUAAAAGUCGUUGACCCCGCUUACCUUGUCACACUAGAAAGUCACGUGAAAGCUAAACCUACAGUUUCAGGAUUACCGAAAGGACCUGAC